rnacentral:rRNA from 1 species
UGUAUAAUGGGUCAGCGACUUAUAUUCUGUAGCAAGGUUAACCGAAUAGGGGAGCCGAAGGGAAACCGAGUCUUAACUGGGCGUUAAGUUGCAGGGUAUAGACCCGAAACCCGGUGAUCUAGCCAUGGGCAGGUUGAAGGUUGGGUAACACUAACUGGAGGACCGAACCGACUAAUGUUGAAAAAUUAGCGGAUGACUUGUGGCUGGGGGUGAAAGGCCAAUCAAACCGGGAGAUAGCUGGUUCUCCCCGAAAGCUAUUUAGGUAGCGCCUCGUGAAUUCAUCUCCGGGGGUAGAGCACUGUUUCGGCAAGGGGGUCAUCCCGACUUACCAACCCGAUGCAAACUGCGAAUACCGGAGAAUGUUAUCACGGGAGACACACGGCGGGUGCUAACGUCCGUCGUGAAGAGGGAAACAACCCAGACCGCCAGCUAAGGUCCCAAAGUCAUGGUUAAGUGGGAAACGAUGUGGGAAGGCCCAGACAGCCAGGAUGUUGGCUUAGAAGCAGCCAUCAUUUAAAGAAAGCGUAAUAGCUCACUGGUCGAGUCGGCCUGCGCGGAAGAUGUAACGGGGCUAAACCAUGCACCGAAGCUGCGGCAGCGACGCUUAUGCGUUGUUGGGUA